CAGAAACACUAAUGUUUAUUAUGUUGAUUUGGUAGUUCUUGUGUAGAACAUAGAUAUUUAGGUCUAAAAAGAUCAGGUGAGCACAAAAAUGAGUUGUGAAUAACCAUUUCUAGAAGCUACUAAAGAAAAGGCAAAAAGGCCAUAAAGAAUUUAAUCGUGCAAUAUUUUAAAGGUAUCUCGUUGUGGAUAGAAUUGAUGAAACACGUGAUGGCUAGUCCUUCUGGUUUGAUCUCUGGGAUUUUCUAUGAAAGUUAUCUGUAUGAUAAUUAUAUAUGGGCUCUCAGUUUAGCAGG